AAUAUUUGACAAUGGGCGAAAGCCUGAUCCAGCCAUGCCGCGUGUGUGAAGAAGGUCUUCGGAUANUAAAGCACUUUAUGUUGGGANAAAGGGCAGUAAGUUAAUACCUUGCUGUUUUGACGUUACCGACAGAAUAAGCACCGGCUAACUACGUGCUAGCAGCCGCGGUAAUACGUAGGGUGCAAGCAUUAAUCGGAAUUACUGGGCGUAAAGCGCGCGUAGGUGGUUUGUUAAGUUAGACGUGAAAGCAAAGGGCUCGACCUAGGAGCUGCUUUCAAAACUGGCAAGCUGGAGUAUGGCAGAGGGUAGUGGAAUGUACUGUGUGGCGGUGAAAUGCAUAGAUAUAGGAAGGAACACCAGUGGAGAAGGCAACCACCUGGGCUAAUACUGACACUGAGGUGCGAAAGCGUGGGGAGCAAACAGG
rnacentral:rRNA from 1 species